UAAGCAGCACGGCAGAGCAGCCUGCACCGCACAGCGGUGUGGUUGUAUAACUCGUGUUUCACCUCAGCUGAACUUGACGCAUCUGGUUCAUCGGCGGCGCGAGUCGCACGGUGCAGUCUGCUGUGUGUCCCCACUGAACCGAGCUGGAUGGCCGGCCGAGAGAGACGCGGGGAAAGAAAGGGGGGGAAACGCAACACUUUCGUGGCAUAGAAGCGGGUCUCGGAGACCGAGUCUCGGGAUGACUCCUCCACAUCUCAGUCUGCAAAUAUCGUCCCUUUCUUGCUUUUUUUAUUUCCUGCUGUUUCGUGGCUCCAGACACAAAAAGGAAGACGAGUCACCGCGGGCUAAAGGAAAUAUAAAGCCGGCCGACUUGGACACGCCGGAGCAGACCAUCCAACUUGAACUUGAGACCAAUCGAUAUGCAGCCGGGCGGAUCGCGUCAAUCCAGCGGAAAAC
ensembl:lncRNA